rnacentral:lncRNA from 1 species
GUUUUUGAAAGAACAGAAAGCAUAAAGCAUAACAUCUUGCAGGAUUACUUUCUGCUGAAGACCAAUUGAUGUGACAUCUGAAAAUAAUCAAAUAAGUGUCUUGUUUUCAGUUUGCAAAUGACUUUGUGAAACUUGGGAAGGAAAUUCUCCACUUAAGAAAAAAAUAAAAAAAAUUGAAAUUGAGAUCAUGGGGAAGAACAAAGAUGGGGAAUUAUGAGAGUGCUUUGAGUUCUUAAUAGCACUUACAUUUGUAAAAAUGAAUCUCUCUAAAAACCUGGAAGUGGCCUAAUAACUUUAAAUCACCUCACACAGUAUAUGCCCCAAACCCUGAUAACAUCCAAAUUCAAUUGCUCAUAACCACAUUUUUGUUUUUUAUUUUUUGGAGCAUUACAAAAAUUUGAAGUUACUGCACAAUACACAGAGCUUGGGAUUUAAAUUAUUGAAACCUUUGUUUUUUUUUUUUUCCAUAUAAGCUCUGACAUUUGGAAAGAAGUUAAGGUACAAUUUAAUCCCAGAGGAUCAGAAUUUAUUGAACUGAUUUUUUUUUUUUUUUUUUUUUUUGGUUUUGGCUAAGAAAACAGAAAUUGAGCUGAACAUCAUAAUGAAGAAAAUAAAGACAGGAAGAGAAAAGGCGGAAGGUGGUACAUGCAAAAUUCUCGAAGUCCAAGGAGAGGCUGGACCUGAAGGUGAACAAGUCUGCUGACCAAGGCAACAGUCAUGGGUACAACAAAUCGUCUCUUUGGAGAGGACCAAAAAUUGUUAUUCUGUCAAAGUUUGGGCUAGUUGCACGCUUUUAUGUGUGCGCAUGUGUACUUAAAGGGUACUUUGUUUCACCUCUAAAUUAAAGAUCUGACCUCUUUCUCAAAACUAUAAAGGAAAAAGACAAAAAAUUUCAAAAGCACCUAGUGUUUAUCUUCUUAUAUCUAAAGAAAAGAAAACGUGUGGGUGUGUGUGUAUGUAGCCACAGGUAUACAUGUGUGUACACACACACACACCCUCCCCCAAGUACACAAGCACACACUGACUAUGGCAGUUCAGAUACAUAGGCCAUCUGGUGAGAGCUGGCAU